rnacentral:miRNA from 1 species
UGUUACUUCCGAGGUGGGAGGAA